UUGUCGCAGGAGAGACGGCACU
rnacentral:miRNA from 1 species